AUUGAACGCUGGCGGCAUGCCUUACACAUGCAAGUCGAACGGCAGCACGGACUUCGGUCUGGUGGCGAGUGGCGAACGGGUGAGUAAUAUAUCGGAACAUACCUUGUAGUGGGGGAUAACUAUCCGAAAGGAUAGCUAAUACCGCAUACGAUCUAAGGAUGAAAGCGGGGGAUCUUCGGACCUCGUGCUAUAAGAGUGGCCUAUAUCUGAUUAGCUAGUUGGUGAGGUAAAGGCGCACCAAGGCGACGAUCAGUAGCUGGUCUGAGAGGACGACCAGCCACACUGGAACUGAGACACGGUCCAGACUCCUACGGGAGGCAGCAGUGGGGAAUUUUGGACAAUGGGGGCAACCCUGAUCCAGCAAUGCCGCGUGAGUGAAGAAGGCCUUCGGGUUGUAAAGCUCUUUUGUCAGGGAAGAAACGGUUGUGGCUAAUAUCCAUGGCUAAUGACGGUACCUGAAGAAUAAGCACCGGCUAACUACGUGCCAGCCGCCGCCGUAACAC
rnacentral:rRNA from 1 species